CUCCCCUCAUGUCUCCUCCUCUGGGUGUGUCAGAGGAGAAAACACUUCGUCUUGAUCUGAGAGCAGGACUGAGAGGGACACAGAGCAGCUUCUUCUCUCCUCAAGUUUCUUCACUCAUGGAAAAGAGUCUGUAAGAAGACGUGAAGAGAGUUCAGUGACUGAAGAUGUCAGAUGUGGAUGAAGAGGAGGGCAGGUCAGGUGUGGACAGGUUGUCUCUGAAGAGUGA